UACGGAGGGUGCAAGCGUUGUCCGGAAUCACUGGGCGUAAAGGGCGCGUAGGCGGCUCAUGAAGGCUGUGGUGAAAGUCCGGGGCUCAACCUCGGAUCGGCCGUGGCGACUCGUGGGCUGGAGCACUGUAGAGGCGGGUGGAAUUCCGGUGUAGCGGUGGAAUGCGUAGAGAUCCGGAAGAACACCAGUGGCGAAGGCGGCCCGCUGGGCAGUGGCUGACGCUGAGGCGCGACAGCGUGGGGAGCGGAACGGG
rnacentral:rRNA from 1 species